AUCAGCUCAGGCGCUCCGCACCCAAUCACCCGCGUCUCGCAGCUCUCGCCCCACUCCUCACCCCAGCCACCAAACGAACCCUAGCCCCUUUCUCCUUCCCCUCGACCCCCACAAGCCGCUGCACCACUCCCUCUCCCUUCCGUGCGUGUGCCCGGCCAAGGACGACGCCGUCGCCCUCGGCUCCUCCUCCACCACCUCGCCUUUUUCUCCUCCUCGCCUUCCCAUAGCUCGUGCGCAUGUCGCCGCCGUCGUAGAACAGGACAGUGCGGGUCGCUUCCUCCUUUUCCUUUCGCCAGAUCUAAGGCGUGCGGCCGUGGAGGCGAGCCACUCCGGUGGCGGCGGCAAAGGGCGACCACAUGGAUCGGUCCCUGUAGGAGGGAGAAGAUGGGAGAGAGGGAGAGAAGGAAGGAGAGGAGGGAGGCCCGACGGCGGACGGGAGAGGGUCACCGACCGGCGCCGGCGAGGUCAGGUGCGACCUGGUGGUUGGUGGAGGCUUGAACCACUCCUGGAUCCUUCUUCCACUUCCCCACUGCUUAAUAUGGAGCACCGGUCAGGGAGCAUGGGAUCGAUGUUCUGCGGCUCGAGGUUUGCUUCCUUUCUGAGAAGAAGCAGGAGCAAAGCAUAUGUAGGCUCUUCCAUGGUGAGUUUGGAGUUUACCCUCUGUCCCUGGAAGUUGAAAUUGGCUAUCAUGCAAGCGACGGCCUUUUCUUAGCCAUGGAAUACAAAGGAAGCUACAAAACAGUCAUAUCGCAUUUUCUUGAGAUAUCCAUCAAGGGAAUCUGAUUGCACCCAAAUGUGAUAGAUCCCACUCUUCGGCGGCUUGAAUUUGAAGUUGUAGUGGCUGAACAAGACUAGGAUCAUGUUUAUGAUGCAUUUUCCAUCGAUACAGAGGUAUGAAUCAUAUGGUUGACAUUGGUAAAAACUCUCAGUGAGCGCCCUACCUCCUGAAUUACUAGUGAGAAGCCGUAUAUUACUUUUAGGUGUAAACAAAUAGUAAAAGAUGAGGUAGCCGUCUCCUACUGAAUUAAUAGUGAAAAGCCUGCCAGCUGAAUUUUAUUCUUACAUGAUAUAUGAUAUGAAGUAUUAUUUAUAUUUACUAUUUAGGAUGUAUGCAUAUAUGUUACUGGCUAGCAUGAUACUAUUAGCAGAAGCUGUAGUGCUUUUUAUGGUCGACGGUGGCAUGCCGCUCCAAGCCACACUGCUUUCCAUCGAUGCCGACAACCACAACAGGGGUGGAUCCAGCCGCCAAGAGGCACAUUAGUGGCCAACGAUGGUGGCCUGCUCCCAAGCUGCAGGGCGACCCUGGUAUGAAGGGGGUGUUGGCAACUUGUGUGUCUCGAUCUGCUGAUCUCUACCAGGUGAACCAGCGGAAGCCUCAUCAUGGUGUGAACUUUAUAAUAGCACAUGAUGGGUUCACCUUAUGUGACCUUGUUUCAUACAACUUAAAGGGUCAUUGUGGUGCCUGUUGGGCCUUUUGUGUUGUGGAGUGUCUGCAAGAUCGUUUCUGCAUUCCGAACGGCAUGGACAUUUCACUUUCUGUCAAUAAGCAUUUAUCUCCAUGUUAACUUGGUGUAAGGUAGUCUUGACGAUGUGUUGAGGCGGUCUGCUCAGUGACCGUUAGUAAGGUUGCUCAUUGGCAAGCGAAAUAGCUUUGUGCAUUCUUGCAUGACUAAGGAAGAAAUUUGUUAUUUGAAGUAUGCACUACAGAUAUUGCAAGUUUCGAUUGCAGGGCUUCGAGAUGCACCAUCAGGGCUGAAACGAGUCUUAUACCGGCUGCAAAAUUAUUAUGCUUUUGGGUCUUUCCUGAAUUUAGUUAGCAAUAAAUACUUCUAGAAUCCCUCUUGCAAUAUGUAAAAGAAGGAAAAGAGAACAUUGGAGCAAAAGUCAGCAGGGCGGAUUAAGUUUUCUCAAAUGUUUGAACAAGGAAAAGAUAGUUACAAUCAUUUUUCUCUCUCUCCUUAUUACAUCUUGAUGUUAAUAUUCUUUGGAAGGUACUAUGCACCCCGUUCAAGGUUUAUAGAAUUUGCACCAUCCUAUCAUAGUUUGUUCUGAUGACAGAAUUGACCAGUUCUUCUUUGAGUAAAUUAAUAUUGCAGCUGCUA